rfam:Schistosoma margrebowiei strain Zambia genome assembly, scaffold: SMRZ_scaffold0000020
GCACUGCCGAGGAGUCCCACAAUAGGACGAAACGGUUGUCCAAUAC